rnacentral:tRNA from 1 species
GGUUGAAGCUCAGUGGUAGAGUGCUUGCUUAGCAUGCAUGAAGCUCUGGGUUCAAUCCCCUGUAAAACA